rnacentral:rRNA from 1 species
GACGAACGCUGGCGGCGUGCUUAACACAUGCAAGUCGAACGGAAAGGCCCUGCUUUUGUGGGGUGCUCGAGUGGCGAACGGGUGAGUAACACGUGAGUAACCUGCCCUUGACUUUGGGAUAACUUCAGGAAACUGGGGCUAAUACCGGAUAGGAGCUCCUGCUGCAUGGUGGGGGUUGGAAAGUUUCGGCGGUUGGGGAUGGACUCGCGGCUUAUCAGCUUGUUGGUGGGGUAGUGGCUUACCAAGGCUUUGACGGGUAGCCGGCCUGAGAGGGUGACCGGCCACAUUGGGACUGAGAUACGGCCCAGACUCCUACGGGAGGCAGCAGUGGGGAAUAUUGCACAAUGGGCGGAAGCAUGAUGCAGCAACGCCGCGUGCGGGAUGACGGCCUUGGGGUUGUAAACCGCUUUCGCCUGUGACGAAGCGUGAGUGACGGUAAUGGGUAAAGAAGCACCGGCUAACUACGUG